GGGUGUCAACCGCGUCGGGCGGUGAGGCAGGACGUGCGAUGGUCGGGCCGCCACG
rnacentral:ncRNA from 1 species